GCAGGGUCAACUCUUUACUUCCUUACGGGACCAGGAUCAUCGAUAGCUCAUUAUUAAAUUUUCCUCGGCUGGUUAUUAGGUUGCAGCUUGCAGACAUAACUGUCUAUGGAGUUUCUUAUCACUGCUAUGACCAUACAGGAUAGUGAUGAGAACUGAGGCAAUAUGCCACCUGAGCUAGUCGGAAAAAUGACAGAUGGAGCUGGAGGCAGCGAUCAAAGCUAUAGCAGCAGGUGAAAGGAGUAAGCUAGCUGCCUCAGGGAUGAUCAGAUGGCUAUGAAAUACAGGCUACUCACCACGAAAGAAAAUAAUAUGCUCAGACAUGAUCUCUGCUACAUGCAAGCCAAAUAUCUUUUGCUGCUCUGAUCAAUGCAAUGCAUCUCAUACAAGUUGUGUUCAGAAACACAAUUGGUGCCUGUGCAGGUAUUUCAAGAAGCGAUGGAAGCUUAUCAGACUGAUAGCCUUGGGUGCUGCAUCUGGAUCCUGCCCACACGCAGACACCACCACCAGAGCUGGGGCCUGAUGAUCUGCAGAGAUGGGCCCAUGGCAGCGGGUGCUUGGGAGCACCUAGAUUGUUCCAUUGCUGUCAGCUAUGGUUACAGCAGCUGAAGGGGCUGCUUUUAUGCCACUCAAACCAGGAGUCUCACUGCUUCUGGAAUUGAAGCAGCUCAGCACUACCAUCACCCUGAACAUCCCUCCUGGAGCCCUACUGCUCUGCACAAGAUGAGGGUAUUUUGCAUACCUGGUUAAUGCUCACCCGCAAGAUUAACAGUGGCUAGCAUAGUAGAUACUCAGGGCAUUUGGGGGAUUUAUUUUCUUUUUGUUUCCCCUGGAUUAUUGUUGUAGCUGUUUGUACAGAUAUAUACAAGAUGCUCAACUCAAGUCACGCAGGAUGAUGAAAGUUCUGAAUUCAACUGCUGUCUGUCACUUAAAAUUUGUUUUCAACUUGUGCCCUUUGAGUUUAAAGUCUUGAUACCACAUUGCUAUCUAGUCCCCAGAGAGGAGAAAUCAUUCAUUACAUAAAGAUCCUGGUGAACAGUCAAGAGGUAUAAGAAAUUUUAAACACCCUGUCAGAAUGAUGAGAGACACAAGAACAUCACAGAAUCACCGAAUCGCAGGGAUUGGCAGGGACCUCAAGAGAUCAUCAUACCUGCUAAAGCAGGUACCGUACAAUAGGUCACACAGAUAAGUUACAUCAAUCCAUUGUAAAACUGCUACCCAAUGCAGGACAUGAUCUUUCGUAAUUACGAUUAUUUGUAAAAUACACUGUGCAAUUAAAUCUUUAGAAAAAU
rnacentral:lncRNA from 1 species